CGAGAGGGCGGGAGGUGCCUGUUUGGGGAGGGUGGGUGUCAGCUCCUAGACGCUCCCCGGCCCUCUCCGCACCCGACACCCUCUCCCCCAAGCCUCAGGGAGGUCCCGACGCGCCUGCGCACUCACAGCGACCCCUGUUGGCGCUCAGCCCUCCCUGGCCACCUCCUCCGGGAAGCUCGCUAGGGCUUCCCCGCCCCGGAAAAGAGCCCUGUAGACAAUGCCCUGAAGUGCUUUGGGCCUUCCAGGCUUCCUGCCACCACCGUCGUCACUAAGAAGACAGCGUGAAGUCAGUCCAGCGCCUGCGUUCAUGAUUUUUUACAGACGGGGCACUGAGGCUUUGAGAGGCUAAGCGAUCUGCCCAAAGUCAUACAACUACUGAAAAGCAAGGUCAGGGUUUGAUCUGAGUUUUUCAGAGUCCAGUGUCCACGGCCUUCGCCCUCACGCUGGUGGGAAGAGGAAGGAGAGGGGCGCGCAGAGGGAGUUGGCGUGGGAUGGGAAGCCCUCCCUGGGGCAGGGAGGGGCCUUGCAGCAGGAAGAGCUCUCCUGGAAGCCGGGGGACCAGCUGACCUACCCUUUGAUCUGGGGUGCGCCUCUCCCACAUGGGACCAGGGACCAGGGUCUGAGAUAGGGGCAGGAGUCUGCUGACCCUCAGGGUGGGGGGUGGGGGCACCCACACUUGCUGCUGUCCCUACCUUAGGGACCUGGGCCCAGGGAGGGGGCAAGGUCUUGUCAGACCAGGCUGGGAGCUGGAAGCUGUGGAUUAAAGAGGUCCAUUUCUGCAGCAAAAAGUUGGCGGUACAAAGGGUCUCCUGGUGAGAGGGCCCCUCCCCACUUCCCUUCCCAGGCUGGGCUGAACUGGGGGGGGGGGAAAGCACUUCUGACAAUUGUCCAUCUUCUCCCCAGUCCCUUCUCAUCUGACAGGCAAAGGGGCCAGGCCUCCCCCAGCCCAGGCUUCUCACCCCCAGUUUGCCACACCGUCCAGCUUCCCUUCAUCCUGUUGGCAGAGCCCCCCAUUUCGCCUUCUCCCCCAAGACAAACAGAAUCACCUCAUCCCACCAGCCCCUCUUCUUCUCCCCUCAGUUCCAGCAAGCCCUUUGCUUCUCAGACUUUGCUGCAUGCCCCUCCUCCCGCUGCUUCACCUGCAUUGCCUCUCCAAACCCUACAGCAACAACCAGGCCUGCAUGGCAGAAACUGCUCAGAGUAUCCACUCCCAUCCUCUUCCUUAGUAAGGAAACCAUCAAUUCUUUGGUUGCCCGCAUUCACACUCAGAAUAAAGACUACCUUUGCCAGUCUCCUCUGCAACUUGGCACGGCCAUGAGACAGGGUUCUGGCCCCGAUAUGCCAAUGAAAGUGUCGUGGAGGGGCUUUAGGAAAUCUGAAAUGGAAGAAGGCUUUUUGAGGCUCCUUUUUGCUGCUCACCGAAAUGAAAGUGUGAUGGCCCCACCUGAGCGGCAAUGAAGGUAGGGCAUCUAGAGGGCAGAGUUGAGCUCCCAGGGGAAGGGGAGCCUUCCAGGGACCCCUGCUUGGCACUGGGAG
rnacentral:lncRNA from 1 species